rnacentral:rRNA from 1 species
AGAAAGCCACGGCUAACUACGUGCCAGCAGCCGCGGUAAUACGUAGGUGGCAAGCGUUAUCCGGAAUCAUUGGGCGUAAAGGGUGCGUAGGUGGCGUACUAAGUCUGUAGUAAAAGGCAAUGGCUCAACCAUUGUAAGCUAUGGAAACUGGUAUGCUGGAGUGCAGAAGAGGGCGAUGGAAUUCCAUGUGUAGCGGUGAAAUGCGUAGAUAUAUGGAGGAACACCAGUGGCGAAGGCGGUCGCCUGGUCUGUAACUGACACUGAGGCACGAAAGCGUGGGGAGCAAAUAGGAUUAGAUACCCUAGUAGUCCACGCCGUAAACGAUGAGAACUAAGUGUUGGAGGAAUUCAGUGCUGCAGUUAACGCAAUAAGUUCUCCGCCUGGGGAGUAUGCACGCAAGUGUGAAACUCAAAGGAAUUGACGGGGGCCCGCACAAGCGGUGGAGUAUGUGGUUUAAUUCGAAGCAACGCGAAGAACCUUACCAGGGCUUGACAUCCCACUAACGAAGCAGAGAUGCAUUAGGUGCCCUUCGGGGAAAGUGGAGACAGGUGGUGCAUGGUUGUCGUCAGCUCGUGUCGUGAGAUGUUGGGUUAAGUCCCGCAACGAGCGCAACCCUUGUCGCAUGUUACCAGCAUCAAGUUGGGGACUCAUGCGAGACUGCCGGUGACAAACCGGAGGAAGGUGGGGAUGACGUCAAAUCAUCAUGCCCCUUAUGGCCUGGGCUACACACGUACUACAAUGGCGACCACAAAGAGCAGCGACACAGUGAUGUGAAGCGAAUCUCAUAAAGGUCGUCUCAGUUCGGAUUGAAGUCUGCAACUCGACUUCAUGAAGUCGGAAUCGCUAGUAAUCGCAGAUCAGCAUGCUGCGGUGAAUACGUUCUCGGGCCUUGUACACACCGCCCGUCAAACCAUGGGAGUCAGUAAUACCCGAAGCCGGUGGCAUAACCGUAAGGAGUGAGCCGUCGAAGGUAGGACCGAUGACUGGGGUUAAGUCGUAACAAGGUAUCCCUACGGGAACGUGGGGAUG